CGGCGCGUCACUUCCGUGCCGGAGGUCGCUUGGCCGACAGGGCGAUUGCCUGUGCGCUGCUCCGUGCCCCGUGUAGGUGCUGCUGCAUUUGUUGGCCGUGGUAAACGCUGGUCGCUGCCCGGAGUCCUCUCUCUCCCUCCCUCCUCUCGUGUGUGUCUGUGUGUGUGCCGGCUGUGACCGAAAAGUUGCUGAAGGCCGGUGGUGGCG